CGGAACUCAAUAUUUACAUGAAAACCGCUUGUACCGGAAACCCGCUUAUAAUAUAAAAUUCGGCCGAUCCCAAUGCGUUCCGUUUCAUUCAGUUUCUACUGUACCUAGUCAUUUUAUCACAGCCUCCGAACAUAACAAGUUCUAUGUCCUGUCAAGCCAGCAUAGCAUGUAAUCAGCUGAUAGUUGUUGCCAAUGAAAUUUUAGAAAAAUCUCAAAAUAUUGUGUUCUUAGUAAUAGUUAAUUGCUAACUCUGACCAGAAGUUUUUAUUCUAGGUGUGACAUCUAAUCAAAAUGGUAACGUAUCUCCCUUUUUCACAUGUAUGAUUAACUCUCAUUUUGUCUUUCAGGAGGAAUAUGCCCCAGAUAUCAGGUCUGAUUACCGAUUGUCUGAUAUCAUCAAACCAGCAAAUAAAAAUUUGGAAAAGCAAAUUUCAAGUAACACAAGUUUAAGCAACGGAGACAAAACUGAGGAUCGUCUGAAUCAGUCAUUUGAUGAUAGCGAUAAUGAAUCUCUUGCUUCUAAAGCUAGAGGAAGGAAAAGGAAUUUGCAAGAUGCCAAAGGAGACUCUUCAUCAGAUGAUGCAAAAAUUCCACAGAAAAAUACUCGUUCUUCCUCAGAAUCUGCUAUAGAACUGCGAACAAGGACCUCCAAACGCAGACAUCCAAAGACGAUUCCUCUGACACAGUUCAAACGUAAGUCUACAUUGCGAUGGCUACACUUAAAAAUGUCUACAACCUAAUACAAAAUCAAUAUUUUUAAGAUUUUGAUCACACAAAAUUUGUAUGUGGUACAAAAAAAUGGUAUGAGCUUUACAAAUUGUGACAGAUUGGCAUCGCAAUAACGGUGACUUACAUCAGCAAAAAUGUCCAAGCAGUGGGCUGUUCGUUGAAAUUGAUAGAAAAAGAAGACAAAAGGAUAUGAAGAGCCCCUAUUGGUUGAAGCGGGUGGUUGCAAUGGACAAAAGAGGUAGGUAAUAAACUGACUAACAGCAACUGACGAGAGACCCUAUAGUUAGUCUUAUCAUUUAUCCCCUUUGUCUUUAACAACCACCCUUUUCAACCAAUAGGAUCACUCCAUACUCCCUAUGUCCUCUUUGUCUAUCGCUUUGUCUAUGAAUUUCAACAAUCAGCCUGCAGUGUGGCAAUGAGAGGGUGUGUACUGAAUGAAGUCCUAAAGUAUGAAGACAUUUUAGCGGAGUGGGGAAAUUUUGAAGUUAAGAUUGCUAAUUUUUGCUCAAAAGAAGUUUCUACAUCUCUAGGUUUUGGAUCCGUAAUUUUAAGUAACUGAUUGUAUCACCAAUAAUUAAAGUAUUUUCCAGCUGUGUCAUGUGUCAAAAAUUUCCUCAAGCUCAUUGCAGAGUCAAUUGGUUAUUGGUCUUGAUUUACCUCCAAAAUUUCUGUGUUAGUGUCAUGUGAGUUUUAUCUAUGAAAAAUUGUUAACACGUUGAUCAUACAAUUUUUGUCUCACUUAUUCUACUAGGAUUUGAAUCCAGACGGAGCCGUAAAACAAGAAGUAAUCUCUGACGAUGAAGCCAAAGAUGUGAUUAAAUCUCCAGAACCAGUCAAGCGAAGAAAGAGCCUCAGUGAUUCGGAUCUAGUAGUAAAGAUGUAAGAAGUUGACCAGUAUAUAUUUCAAUGACACCUUAAAUGGUUGAUCGGACAAAAUUUCAAUUUUGAGUGACCAAUGGGCCUGUUGCAAACUUUUGCUAGAGCAGAAUGAAGAGUUGUUUCCUAUAGAUAAUGCCUCAAAAUCACGAUGAGCGCAUCGGCAGAGUCUGAAAUGCACUCAUAAAUUCACAAUCUGCGUAAGAAAUUUGCGUUAUUUUGAGCUUCCCGCUUCAAAAACGAUACUACGGCACAGGUGAACAUUUUGUUAGAGGAGUCGCUCCAUCGUCGGCAAUAUUCAUCAUGGCCGACGCUUGCGCAGUUCCGCGCGUAAUUCGAAGAGAGCUCAAGGUCAAUCAAGGCGGGCGAGGAAAAUAUGAAUGUAAACACGCCGAUUGUUAUCUGGUUUAAUCCUGUUCAGGUGUUAUCUCGUCCCAUCACACGUGUUUUGGCGGACUGGCGUCGGCCAUGAUGAGUAAUGCCGCCAAUGGAACGACUCCUCUAACAAAAUGUUCACCUGUACCGUAGUAUCGUUUUCGAAGCGGGAAGCUCAAAAAACCGCAAAUUUCUUGCGCAGAUUGUGAAGUUAUGAGUGCAUUUCAGACUUUGCCGAUGCGUUCAUCGUGAUUUUUGAGGCAUUAUCUGUAAGAAACAACUCUUAGUUUUGCUCUAGCAAAAGUUUGCAACAGGCCCAUUGCUAUGAGAAGGAUUUUGAAAUGGAAAGAAGAAUGAUAAAACUGUAGACCAAGUAAAUUUAGCACAGAACUUUUUCCUUAAUAUUUGUAUGAGAGUUUCUUCAAUUCGCUAGAAUCACUAAAUAAUUAUCAGCUGUGAAUUUUAACUUGGGACUCCUUCUAUGUUGAUUGAGGUAGAAUCAAUAACGUUUGAAAUGGCAGGAGUUUGACUAAAGAAAUGCUUAGUUCUUUGUGCCACAAAAGAUUAUGAUUUUCAACAAUCAUGUAAAUGCAGUUUUGUUGGAAGGAAAAAAGUUACUGCGGAACUGGGUGUUUCUUUGGAAAUUUUAAAACCCUCUAGUGCAACACCCACAAGAAAAAAAAAAUCAUGUAAAAUUUUUUCAUGUCCUACAGGGGAACUACAUUCAGCUAUUUUCAUGAAAUUUACUCAUUAUUUCCUCAGUGGUGAAUUUUUAACCCCUAAAAGAUUGGAAGUAUUUAAAUCAAAAGGUUUCUCUUUAGAUUUUGUAUUUUGUUUACAAUUGAAGAAAGGUAAUCCAUGACAAUUAUGGAAAUUUGAAUAGCCUUGGAGGCUGUUAAAUCUUGCAAGUAAGAUUUUGCCCAGUUUGAAAGCCCAACUCUAAUCUCAUUACUAUCCACAAUGUAAUAUUCCUCUGUAUGUUGUGUUUUUCUAGAUCAAUUUAGAUACGUUGAAAGACCUAGGACUGAUGAGUGGCAAAAAAAAGAAAUCCAUAAUCUCUUUGAACUUGAACAGCACCCCGGAGGUAAGUGUAAUAGUAUUUUAUUUCCUUAUUUAAAUCAGUUGCCAGGUCAAAUACAUGAAGUUUGUACUUGAAUUUUUUGCUUUUUAUUAUAAACUCAUGUUAUUUUAUACAAAAUGG
rnacentral:lncRNA from 1 species